GAUGAACGCUGGCGGCGUGCCUAAUACAUGCAAGUCGAACGCAUAGCGAAAGGUGCUUGCACCUUUCAAGUGAGUGGCGAACGGGUGAGUAACACGUGGACAACCUGCCUCAAGGCUGGGGAUAACAUUUGGAAACAGAUGCUAAUACCGAAUAAAACUUAGUGUCGCAUGACACAAAGUUAAAAGGCGCUUCGGCGUCACCUAGAGAUGGAUCCGCGGUGCAUUAGUUAGUUGGUGGGGUAAAGGCCUACCAAGACAAUGAUGCAUAGCCGAGUUGAGAGACUGAUCGGCCACAUGGGGACUGAGACACGGCCCAAACUCCUACGGGAGGCUGCAGUAGGGAAUCUUCCACAAUGGGCGAAAGCCUGAUGGAGCAACGCCGCGUGUGUGAUGAAGGCUUUCGGGUCGUAAAGCACUGUUGUAUGGGAAGAACAGCUAGAAUAGGAAAUGAUUUUAGUUUGACGGUACCAUACCAGAAAGGGACGGCUAAAUACGUG
rnacentral:rRNA from 1 species